CUCUUCCCGAGAUGGGACCCCCAAACACACCCCCGGGGGCUCUCUCCACACCCCAAGAGUCCUAUCUGUGCCUCCCGAGUGCAAGUUCACCCAAGUGGUGAGUUUUUACGGACUCCCUUCCUCGCUUGAAAGAGACCUUCUUUGGCUACCCGCCCCCUGUCCGGUGGCUCCGACGUGGCUACUUUGCAGGAUGGGCUGUAUAAAGGGCUAGAGGCAGAUCUACCCAAACCAGAGACGUGGCGUCUGCUAGACCGGCCUAGGCUCCAGUACCUGACUAAAGCCCAGAGAAGGGAGCAAGAAGGAGCUGAAGAAAGUGUGGCCCCCAGGAGCCAUGAAGACCACGGUUCGCUUUCCUGGGAAGGUUCCCUAACCCUGGACUAUAAGAUGUAGCAAGACUUAUAUUCAGUGAUUAAAAAAUGAAAGAAAGAAAAGAA
rnacentral:lncRNA from 1 species